GUUGAAGGCAGAAAUACUUCUAGAGAAAGUCGUCUCUUGCUAGUUUCAGAAGAUAAAUAUAUUGAACAAUUUGACAUUCAUGUUGUUGCAGAAGAGGAACACAAAGUGCUGAUUCAAAAGUCAGGUCAGCUUCCAAGAGCCAAAGUUGUAGAUGACCUCGUUUGGGCACAGUGGGAUAUGAUGGAGCAAAGACUCUUCUACAUUGUUCCAAAGGAAUCAAAGAGUACUUUAAGGUGUGUCCAGUUUUAUCCUGAGGAAAAUUUUAGUUCAAUAGUAAGUUCUGAGUAUUUUAAUAUAAAUGGUUUACAGUGGGAUGUAAUUAUGUUUUCCAGGUACUGGUACAGAGGUCUUUUUCGUUGUUGAAACUUUUUCAGAGGAAAACUGGAGUUUUUUGGGGUUUUUUUUUGCAUUAUUUUCUUGUCAAGAAUAUAUUCAGUGAGACUCAGAUUUUUCCCCACAGUAAGGUAACUUUAUUGGAAUUACACUUUUUUUGACCUGGAAGGCAUUAAGUGACAUUCAUGACACUGUGCUGAACUUAUACUCACUUAUUGAAAAAGCAGGCUUAGCAAGUGCACUCGUCAAAGAAACCAUGUUAUUUUCUGUCGGUUUUAAGUGAGACAGGAACAUUCGUUGCAGCCAAAAUACAAAAACCAGAACAUAAAAAUUACAACGUGAUUGUUACUAGACCUUUGUUCCAGUGGCUUUUAUUUUCUCUUAAAAAAAAAUAUCUGUUUUAUGGAGGAUUUUGACAUGACUAUAAGGGUUAGAGGAGGAUAAAUAAACCUGUUAAAAUAUUGAACUUGGUGAAAUGUAACUAUGACACAUUUUACUGGUCUGAAAUACUAAACAUAGUAUAUUGACCUCUGUAAAGAACAGGUUUGUUUUCCUUUUUGUUUAACAGCUGGAAUCACAUCUGGAUAUUGCUGUAAAUGACACACAAUUAAAGUAAGUUGUUUGUUUCUUUAAUGUUUUGGUUUGCUUUCCUUUCAAUAUACAUGGUGACAUUUUACAAACCUGAGUAAAAUUUGUCCAAACCACAAUAUCUUUGUUUGCAGUUGCCUACAUGGCACUGGAACAUGAGAAUAAUAGGAAAACUGUGUCCAGACCUCCAGUUCUUAUUCUCAUCAGGGUCAACUGUAAAAAGUAAUUUAAUCCUUGGCUGUUUCUUAGUACCACUUAAAAAAAUUAUUUGUCUGAAGAGCUAGCUAGGGCUUAAACCUUCUGAGUAUGCUGAACCUAUUUAAAUUAAUUUGCUUUAACCUAGGGCAGGUUUUAAUGGUGAUGUUAAAAUAUCUGUUAAGGGAAGCUCUGCAUUUUUAAUUGCUGUUGCAAGUUUUAUUGGGCAGUUAAGCAAACCAGUAGCACCUUUUUAUGGCCUGUGAAGACACUGCCUGUACUCUGUUCUCCUCCAGCAUGCUCUAUCCAGCAGCCUGCACUUCCAAAGAUGAAGAUUUGUCUGAUUCUGUAUCUGCCAUGCACAUGACUGCAUCUGAGCUUGUCUCCUGAGGGCUCC
rnacentral:lncRNA from 1 species